rnacentral:rRNA from 1 species
UGGGGAAUAUUGCACAAUGGGGGGAACCCUGAUGCAGCGACGCCGCGUGGAGGAAGAAGGUCUUCGGAUUGUAAACUCCUGUUGUUAGGGACGAUAAUGACGGUACCUAACAAGGAAGCACCGGCUAACUACGUGCCAGCAGCCGCGGUAAAACGUAGGGUGCAAGCGUUGUCCGGAAUUACUGGGUGUAAAGGGAGCGCAGGCGGGAAGACAAGUUGGAAGUGAAAACUAUGGGCUCAACCCAUAGCCUGCUUUUCAAAACUGUUUUUCUUGAGUAGUGCAGAGGUAGGCGGAAUUCCCGGUGUAGCGGUGGAAUGCGUAGAUAUCGGGGAGGAACACCAGUGGCGAAGGCGGCCUACUGGGCACCAACUGACGCUGAGGCUCGAAAGUAUGGGUAGCAAACAGGAUUAGAUACCCUGGU